rnacentral:lncRNA from 1 species
GAGGAAAUGGCUCUAAAUAUAUUUUUGCUUUGUCAGGUUGGGGUUGGGACUGUGGCAAAUUUCCUUCUGUUCAUCCAUAAUUUCCCUGUAAUUUUGACUGUCAACCCACACCCAUACAGGACUUAGUAACAAACUUAGUGGUGGCCAGUGCAUUCAAUCUCAUCCUCUUGGCAAUUCCAAACAUCAGUACAGUAUUUCUUCCAUGGAAGGCCCCCAGUGACCUCUCAUGUAAACUUUGGUACUUCGUUUGCCUGGUGGCUCUAAGCACAAACUUGUCUUCCACCUGUGUCUUGAGCACCUACCAGUUUGUCAUACUUCUUCCUGGUAAAUGGAGCAGAGUCAU